AUCAUCAUCAUCAUCAUCAUCAAAUUCAAUUCAAGUGAAGCACCACCACCACCACUCAGCAAUGGUGACUCUUCUUGUUGCUACAACCUCCGACCCUGCUUCCAUCAACCCUGCCAAUGCCCGCUUGGCAACCAGGAUGACAUGAAGAGUUUCUGUAAUGGAGGGGUGAGGGUUUUGCUUCAUGGGAAGAGCAUAGUGGUGGAGGAUGACUUGGACAAGAGGUGGAAAGAGAAGACUGGUGAGGUUGUUGAUGAGGUCAUCUUCUUCAGCAAGCACACUGCUGUUUCUAACAAACCUGCCCUCACUGUUCAUCCCAUUGAUUACUUUGGAGGCCACUCAUCACGGGCCAUUCACGAAUAAGCCAACAAUGUUUCUUGAGAUUGGGAGAAUGAUAAGAAGAAAGUCCUUCUUGGGAUAGGUGGCGGACACUAUGCGCCUCGGCAUAUGGAUGUAGUAUUGUGAGCAGUCAUUAUCCUUGUAGUUUAAUUUUCUCUCUGACUUUUGAAAGACGGUGUUUCGGGAGUGAGCGAACAACGCGAGACAAUGCUGCUUCGACAAAUUGACAUUACAAACCAUAAUGCAAAUCUGCAGGCCUUUGUUGUUAAAUAAUCUCAGUCAUAUGCUUCUGCAAUAUCCACAAGACGAAUGAACUGCUCUGGAUAGUAGGUUUCUCAGUUCUGCUCCUGCCACUUACUUAAUUCUCGGUCGCUAUGGGUUCUUGUUGUACAAAGGUUCGUUCUUGUUCUUGUUUCUCUUCUCUGAGUACAUUGCCAUUUGUGCACAACUCGGCUUCACUUGGCUUGUCCAUGGAACUGGGAGCCGCAUUCAGAG